UGGAUCACCUCCUAACAGGGAGACAACAAAAUGUUUAAUAUUAUUAUUUUGUCACCUUAGGUCGAUCGGUAUCUCACAUUCUUAAUUUAUUAAGGAUUUUAUUUCCUAAGUUUUUUCUAGGUCACACCCAUUACUUUUCCUGGGCCAUUAGCUCAGGUGGUUAGAGCGCACCCCUGAUAAGGGUGAGGUCCCUGGUUCAAGUCCAGGAUGGCCCAUAUCUCUAUGUUGGGGGUAUAGCUCAGUUGGUAGAGCGCCUGCUUUGCAAGCAGGAUGUCAGCGGUUCGAGUCCGCUUACCUCCACUGAUUACCACCUCUUCCAUAAUUAUUUAAGGAAAUGUUUUGAGUAGUGAUCAAAUUCUGAACGAAUCUAGCUUCCUAAUGAAUUCAUUAAGAUGCUGGACUCAUUGAAUUAUUUUCAUUGUUUUCAGAGAACCUUGACAACUGCAUAGAUUAUUUUUAAAGACAAUAAGCAUCUUUAUGAUGCAGAUUUAUUAUUUGUGCGAAUGCAUUAAUAACAAUUCUAUUAAGCUGAUGCUUCAAUUAUGAAGUUAUUGGUCAAGCUACAAAGGGCUCACGGAGGAUACCUAGGCACACAGAGGCGAUGAAGG
rnacentral:tRNA from 1 species